rnacentral:rRNA from 1 species
CAGUGCCGCGGUAAUACGUAGGUGGCAAGCGUUGUCCGGAAUUAUUGGGCGUAAAGGGCUCGCAGGCGGUUUCUUAAGUCUGAUGUGAAAGCCCCCGGCUCAACCGGGGAGGGUCAUUGGAAACUGGGAAACUUGAGUGCAGAAGAGGAGAGUGGAAUUCCACGUGUAGCGGUGAAAUGCGUAGAGAUGUGGAGGAACACCAGUGGCGAAGGCGACUCUCUCGUCUGUAACUGACGCUGAGGAGCGAAAGCGUGGGGAGCGAACAGGAUUAGAUACCCGCGUAGUCCCUGUCUCUUAUACC